rnacentral:lncRNA from 1 species
AUCCAUUUCGAUUCAUCGACAACAUUUCAUUUCAUACAAAAUAUGCUUAUACAACAAUAACAUAAUAACCAACAAGACUUGCCCAUAAUUCUGAAUAGCUCUCCACUGCCUCAGCCCAAUUCAAACAUCUCAAAGAGUGACAAGCUGACCUGAAAGAUUUAUAUAACAACGGAGUGAGCUAAAAACAGCUCAGCAAGUAACAAAGCAUAUAUAGCAUGAGAAGGGACAGUUUCAAACAAACAAGAUAUCACAAUGCAAGACAAAAUCCAAGAGAUACAAGGAUAUCAUCUCAUUAGAUACAGAAU